UUGCUUCAGUAGCAUAUAUACUAAAAUGGAAAUGAAACAAACAAGAUAAGCCUUGUCCCUAUGUAAAGAUGAGAUGCAAAUCUGUGAAGUGUUCCAUUAAAAA